AGCAGCCGCGGUAAUUCCAGCUCCAAUAGCGUAUAUUAAAGUUGUUGCAGUUAAAAAGCUCGUAGUUGAAUUUCGGGAUCAAUACGUCUGUCGUGCCUUUGGUACGUACGGGUGUAAUUGGUUUCUACCUUCUGAGGAUCCUUGAUGUCAUUAAUUUGGUGUCUUGGGGAAUCAGGACUGUUACCUUGAAAAAAUUAGAGUGUUUAAAGCAGGCAUGCGCUUGAAUACAUUAGCAUGGAAUAAUGAAAUAGGACGUUCGAUUCUAUUUUGUUGGUUUCUAGGAUCGACGUAAUGAUUAAUAGGGAUAGUUGGGGGCAUUAGUAUUCAAUUGUCAGAGGUGAAAUUCUUGGAUUUAUUGAAGACUAACUACUGCAAAAGCAUUUGCCAAGGAUGUUUUCAUUAAUCAAGAACGAAAGUUAGGGGAUCGAAGACGAUCAGAUACCGUCGUAGUCUUAACCAUAAACUAUGCCGACUAGGGAUCGGAUGAUGUUAAUUUUUUAAUGACUCAUUCGGCGCCUUA
rnacentral:rRNA from 1 species